ensembl:lncRNA novel transcript
GUAGAAGGUGCUGGGGUUUGAGAGAUCAGUCGGACACGAUUGGCAGGGAAAGCACGUGUGUUUUUGUGAGAAUUAUGCCGAGAUAAGUAACAGAUGAGGAAGAAAUUUGGGCUUGAUUGAAGUAAUGGGGGCUGUCUGUGAAGCUUUGCAGCAGUACAGCCUUGGGGGCUUCCGAGGCGAUCGGGCAGUGUCAGUCUUCAGCCGCUAAGCCGAGAAGAUCUGGGAAGGAGUCAGUCAGAGAGCCUUGGGCCGGAGUUCCAGGGGCUCUGGGAGUGGCUGCCAGGUACCUGGUCCAUCCCUCCAGGCCCCUUAGAGAGAGGACUCAGAGAAGAGACUGAGGGAGAUGGGAUGUGCCAGGGUUUCCUGCUAGGAGCCUCAUCUUUCUACCCCUUCUCUGUUCCCGAGAACACAGUGGUCAUCCCCUCUGGAAGAUGAAGUAACAGGGCACCAUCUUGGAAGCAAAGAGAGCAGCCCUCGCCAGACUCCAAGUCUGCUGGAGCCUUAAUCUUGGACUUCCCAACCUCUAGAGUUGUGAGAAAAUAAAUUUCUAUUUAUAAUUUACCCAGUCCAUGGAGUUGUGUUACAGCAGCACAAGUGGACUAAGACGCUGUCAACACUUGUUAAUUUCUGUUGUUAUGCCAUCGUAGUGGUUGUAAACUGAUAUCAUGUUGUGAUUUUGAUUUGCAUUUCCCUGAUGAUUAGUGAUGUUGAGCAUCUAUCUGUUCAUGUGCUUGUUGGCCCUUUGUGUAUCUUCUUUGAAUAAAUGUCUAUUCAAGUUCUUUGUCCAUUUUUAA